UCAUUCAAUUUCACCAUUAACAACCUUACAAAGUUUCAAGGUGAUAUGUGCAAAAGAAAUCCUAGAGAGGUUGAAGAUCACAUUUUCAGUUUAGCGACUCAUCAUGUCGAUAAAGAUUUCAUUCUUGCACCGCAUUUGGCUGAGUAAGUUUUUUUUAGUUAACUUGCUUUUAUUUUAUUGCUAUGAUUCACCUAACUAUUCUAUAACGCUAAUUUUGUAGCAACCAUUGGUCUUUGUUCAUCAUUGCCCAACACAUAGGACAUGUUUAUAUUUUGGAUUCAACAAAGAUAAAAGGCGAAAAGAAUGCUUCUAACUAUCGUCUUUCAAGCCUAAUUCCUACCGCCUUAGGAUCCGAGUUCAACUACACAAUGGUUGAUUGUAAGCAACAAAAGGGUAGAUGGGAAUGCGGCUACAUGGUUCUCCAACAUAUGUUUGACUUUGUCAAUUUGUAUCAAAACCAAUUUCCCGAUGAAAUGUGGCACGACACGAGAGUGGCUACGGAUAACGAAAUAGAUGUUUUGUUGAUGACGUUGAUGCCGAAGUUUUUUAGCGAGUUAGGUAUUCUGUUAGUUUAGCUUAUGUGUAGUUUGUUAUGUAUUCACAAAUGAUUGUAAUUUGACGGGUUUAUUUCCGAAUUGGAUGUGGGGUUUAUUUUGGAUUUGAAUGUGUAUUGUUUUGGUUUGAUUUGAAAAUGUUGCAUUGGUGUAUAUGAGGUUGAUGUAUUUUUUUUUCCAGCAAAUGUAUUUUUGGUGUAUUUCUUUUU